AUUGAACGCUGGCGGCAUGCUUUACACAUGCAAGUCGAACGGUAACAGGCCUUCGGGUGCUGACGAGUGGCGAACGGGUGAGUAAUGCAUCGGAACGUGCCCAGAGGUGGGGGAUAACGCAGCGAAAGCUGUGCUAAUACCGCAUGUGAUCUGAGGAUGAAAGCGGGGGACCAAGCAGCAAUGUUUGGCCUCGCGCCUCUGGAGCGGCCGAUGUCAGAUUAGGUAGUUGGUGGGGUAAAGGCCUACCAAGCCGACGAUCUGUAGCUGGUCUGAGAGGACGACCAGCCACACUGGGACUGAGACACGGCCCAGACUCCUACGGGAGGCAGCAGUGGGGAAUUUUGGACAAUGGGCGCAAGCCUGAUCCAGCAAUGCCGCGUGCGGGAAGAAGGCCUUCGGGUUGUAAACCGCUUUUGUACGGAACGAAAAGGCUCUGGCUAAUACCUGGGGCUGAUGACGGUACCAUAGAAUAAGCACCGGCUAACUACGUG
rnacentral:rRNA from 1 species